UAGUAGUACUACAAAGUCUUAUACGUCAUGUGAGUCAACGGUGGUCCAAAAUUAUUAGGUUAAAUACGACUUUUCCACAAUGCUUGCCCAUGCAGCUGUGCUGGGGGUUGUUUGCAUGCAUGAGCUAUCACAACCGUUGAAUAUAUAUAAUGGGUAGAACUUAAUUGUGCAUUCACAAUCAUCAAUUGUUGUCUUAUCUCAGCAGCAUAAUCAAUGCGUAGAACUCAAUUGUACAUUCACUAUCAUCAAUUGUUGUGUUAUCUCAGCAGCAUAAUCAAUCGACAACCACCACCAUAGGGAUGUUCUCGUCGCUCUUAACUAGGAAUGGACAACAGUUUCGACAACGGUAACUAACAUCGGUUAUUUAUCUAUAACCGUUUAAGCCUUUACUGCAUAACUGUUUAUCUGUUCGAUAAUUAUAUAAAUUGUUAUAUACAUAUCCAUAACUGUUUAUAAACGGUUACUCAUACUCAUAACCCCAUACUUAUUUAACCGGUAACCUAUUUACCCGUUUUUAACCCGUUUACCAUUUUUAUCCAUUUACUCCUAUUUUACCUAUUUACAUGUUUUUUUACUCAUUUGUAAGUACAUUUAAUAUGCAUUACCGUGUUUCAAUCUCUUAAGUUCUCAUACCACUGCAAUAAUUGAAAUUAUAGAGCGAACAAUAUUUGCAACUACAUCCACCUUUACGCUUGGUCCAAGCAAUUCAAGAUCUUAUUAAUUGCUGCAAGUUACUUUCUUUCUUUUUUUUCUUUUUUCUGAAACAUUCCCCUUAAGCUUACGAAACUUAUUUGCCCUUUCCUGUGAAGGUUAGUUGAAGGGAACUUUAUAUGUGCCCUACAAUUUGCACAUUAUACCUCACAACUUAUUGGAAUAAGAUGGGAAUGUCGUGAGUUUGUAGGGUAUGCUACAAGUUACUUAAGAAAAGUGAAUUAGUAAGAAAUCAAAUGCUAUUGGCCUGGCGUGUAGUCUGGAUUAUAAUAACCAUGUUUAAUGCCCUUAUUCAAGUAAAGUUCUGAACAAAUCAUUUGACUCCGUUGGAAGUAACUCUCAACAGCAUAUCCAUGAUCGGAUUUCGUUUUCUACUUGAUCCUCUAAGUUUUAUCAAAUCAUGUAAUAUUUCGGGAUCACACUAAGUAUAUUUGGAUUGAGCUCGAUCCCACCAAUGCGUAGGCGAAAACCAUUCGUAAAUUGAAAUUAUAACGAAUGAGAUAUAAGGAGUGAAGGCAAGGGUAAAAUGUUCAUUUGAACCAAUAAGCGGUUAAACGGGUAUCCGUUUAUAACCGCAGGUGAUACCCAUAACCACCUAUUUAAAUUUCACAGGUAAAUGGUUAUACCCUUAACCGUUUAUUUGUUUAAACGGUUACCCAUAACCAUAACCGUGAAUUUUAAAUGGGCGGGUAACUACAAUUACCCAUACCCAUAAGUAUUUUUCCCAUCUUAACCCACUCACACUUCUACCCACUUAUACAUAGUGUCUAUCAACCAUUGAUGUAUCGGAUGCCGUAUCUAGUUCAAAGACUAGGAUUCACCCACGCACUUAUGAGCAAUACUAUUAUGAACAAUUCUCUAAUGUAAAUUUGGACUAACUUUUAAAUUCACGUGAUAAAUCACAUACAAAUAAAAUAACUGUAUUUUAUGUGUAAAGAUGUAUGAAUUAGUGAUAAUGUUCUUUAAACUCUCAAAUAUGGGCUUGAUUUGGAAUUAAUUCUCACAAUUGUCUGCAUAUCCCCCACCUACACCAUUAUUUGGCAAAUGGAACCAAAGUAUCAGUGGUAUUCGAAGGUGACUCUCAUUUCAAAUAAUGUAAUUAACUACUUCUGUAUAAAUCAAAUUGUAAUCUUAUGUGUAAGCUUAUUCUUUUGCAAUAUAGUUGUUAUCAAAAUUUAUGAUCACAACAACUAAAUAUGCUAUCCAGUAGUAGAAAAUUGUCUGUAUGCUAAAUGAGAGGUGUAGAUGUUCGGGCCAAUACUUCAGGUAUAGUGGGAAAAGAGAAUUAACAUUAGGAUAGAUUAUUGGUUUGAUAUCAAGAGAUCAAGAUUGUAGGUUGUAGUAUCACAAACAUGAUAUUGGAAACCAAAUAAACGUUAGAAGACUCCACUUGCAUAAGUUAGGAAGUAGACUGAUGAACAAAAUGAUCCCUAACCAUUCCACAGAAGAGAUAGAGAGAGACAUCUAAUUAGCAUAUUUUAAUAAAGUAUAGUGGAAGACAGAAAGAGAUAUAAAGCGAAGAAAAUAAAGUGACAGUGAUGUGAAUUUUAACAUCCAAUUUAUGUGAUGGGGAUUACAAGCAUAUGGGUGGUAGUCAAAAUAUAGACCGCAAGAUCGAAAGCAAACAACCAAAUCAAACUCAGGCCGUAUAAUCCUCUAACACCCUAUGGGAGAAAUCUGUAUCUUUUAUCUCAUUGCAUCCUCCAAUAAGAAUGGGAGGAUGUUAACAAGUGGCAACCACCUCAUUUUCAUUUCUAAAGUCUGUUUAGGGCUGAUUGUAAUUUAAGUGAUUAUGAACAUGUACUCUCCGAUUUCAGGUGUCAUGCAUACACAGUGAGCUUGAAGAGAAAGGUUUUUUUUUUGGAGGGGGCGGGGGGUGUUCGAACAAUAAAUCUAUCAAACUCCUAUCUUAUCCACCAUCUAUCACCAGGCUAACCCUAAUAGUUUUAGAACAAAAAGUAUUUUAUCCUUCAAUAUCUUUGUUUUGCUAAAUUCCUACAUUAUCUUCGUG
rnacentral:lncRNA from 1 species